rnacentral:rRNA from 1 species
GACGAACGCUGGCGGCGUGCUUAACACAUGCAAGUCGAACGGUAAGGCCCUUCGGGUACGACGAGUGGCGAACGGGUGAGUAACACGUGGGUGAUCUGCCCUGCACUUCGGGAUAAGCCUGGGAAACUGGGUCUAAUACCGGAUAGGACCAUGGACUUCACGGUUUGUGGUGGAAAGCUUUUGCGGUGUGGGAUGGGCCCGCGGCCUAUCAGCUUGUUGGUGGGGUAAUGGCCUACCAAGGCGACGACGGGUAGCCGGCCUGAGAGGGUGUCCGGCCACACUGGGGACUGAGAUACGGCCCAGACUCCUACGGGAGGCAGCAGUGGGGAAUAUUGCACAAUGGGCGCAAGCCUGAUGCAGCGACGCCGCGUGAGGGAUGACGGCCUUCGGGUUGUAAACCUCUUUCAAUAGGGACGAAGCGCAAGUGACGGUACCGUAUAGAAGAAGCACCGGCCAACUACGUGCCAACAGCCGCGGUAAU